AUAUGAAAUUUUCUGAAAAUUUGCUGUUGGGAUUUGCGUUUUAUUGACUAGUUCUAAAAUUAACGGCGUUCGAACUUUCGCUCUUUUUAUACGCCGCUGUUCGAAUGGGGCAUUUAAAACUAUGCAAUAAAACGCAAAUCCCAACGGCAAAUUUUUACAAAAU